rnacentral:rRNA from 1 species
UACGUAGGGUGCGAGCGUUGUCCGGAAUUAUUGGGCGUAAAGAGCUCGUAGGCGGCUUGUCUCGUCGGAUGUGAAAGCCCGGGGCUUAACUCCGGGUCUGCAUUCGAUACGGGCAGGCUAGAGUUCGGUAGGGGGAGAUCGGAAUUCCUGGUGUAGCGGUGAAAUGCGCAGAUAUCAGGAGGAACACCGGUGGCGAAGGCGGAUCUCUGGGCCGAUACUGACGCUGAGGAGCGAAAGCGUGGGGAGCGAACAGG